rnacentral:rRNA from 1 species
UACAGAGGGUGCGAGCGUUAAUCGGAAUUACUGGGCGUAAAGCGCGCGUAGGCGGCUUUGCAAGUCGGGUGUGAAAUCCCCAGGCUCAACCUGGGAACUGCAUUCGAGACUGCAUUGCUAGAGUAUGGGAGAGGGAAGUGGAAUUUCCGGUGUAGCGGUGAAAUGCGUAGAUAUCGGAAGGAACAUCAGUGGCGAAAGCGGGUCUCUGGGCCGAUACUGACGCUGAGGAGCGAAAGCGUGGGGAGCGAACAGG